CUGUACUGCAGUUAUGCUAAGUGCUGUGAUUACAGUAGACUUGGCAAGUGUGUGUUAUUUAUUUAUUUUUGUAAUUUAGACUUCCUAUAAAAUAUUUGUACAAAACUAUUUUUGUACAAAAAAAAAAAAAAUGCCUAUGGAAUAUUUCACCCGCAUAGAAUAGAAUAGUCCGCACGUGAGAUCUUAUUUCGCGCCAAAAGUCGUUGUCCUGACAACGAGUCUAGCGAGCAGCUCAGCGUCUUUUCCAUAGUGUCCACUGCAGGAUGGAUAGAAAAGUAUAAAAUACGUUUUGGUUCGACAACAUCGUUCAUAUGUGAAAUAUCACAAUUAAAGCACAAAGACAUAACAUUACACCCCGAGGCCAUUCACAAGAGAAGAAACGCUUUCCGGAAGAGAAGUUCAUCAGGCGAGCAGGAGCGUUGACUUUGUCCAGUCAUCAUGUUUAGCAGAGAGCAUUAACUCCUAAUUGACGUGGAUAAAAAUAAUUGAAAAGUGUUCAGUGUGUACCCCCCUCUUUGCAACAGAGGAAGCAUUAGGAAAGAGGAGAAGAGAGAAAGUGAAAAGGCUCUCAACAGAUGUUGUUACGUCAUUCGCUCGUAGCUAGUGCCGAGUACUGGCUGUGCGUAAAGUUAUCUUCAAAAAUAUCUUUCAAGAACGGACAAAAGGACUGAAAUCUUCGUGAAACCCGAGGGAGACCAGAUAGCGCCCCAGAUCACCGUGAGGUCUGGGGUUCCUCUGGCUGUGUUGGAGUGUGACCCACAUCGGCUGCCAGUGACGGCGCAGGACGAGGAUCUGUAAGAGGGCAGUGUCUCACGACCAUUUCACGCUUCAUAAAGUAAUUCAGGUACACUUGUUUGCUUUUGUUUUGCGCUCAGGAGAGUGAAGAGGCCAGUUUUCCGUUUCCACGGCCACUACGCACUCAAGCCACAAUUCAGGCCUGCUCCGGAGUCCGGGGUGGGUUGUGAGUGUGGUCCUAUUAAUAUCAGUUCAUAUAGUGUUAUUCAGCGCGCUUCAGAAAUGUGAGUGUUCAGAGUAAUAUUUUGAAACACAGAGUUGUUCUGUACAUUUAAUUUCAAGUGUGUUAGUUUGCUCAAUUAACUCGAAGUGUAUUUGACAGUUCAGUAAAUUCAUCUCAUUCAGUCAUUUGUGAUAUUUCCCUUUUUGGGGUUAAAUUGUACCAAACUUGAGAUCAACUUGAUUGUGUGAAUACUUGAAAUUUAAAUUUAAGCUAUUUCUUACUCUUUAAUUAAAUUUUGUAUAUUUUUCUACUUUCUAAAGUGUUUUAUUUUUUCAAGAGUGUUUAUUUUUGACCGGUGAACUUGUGUGAACAUAGAUUUUAUUCUGAGCAACUUUCCAAAAGAGAAGUAUUUAUUUCAGUGACAUCAGAGGGGCCUUUUAAUACAACAUCUCUUAGGCACUAGUUUAUUGAACCCUUACUAAACCGUUAUAAAAGGAGGUAGGGGGCGCUACAUAUAUAUUCAGUAUUAGCAUUAUUUUCAACAGAAAUGCUGUGAUUGGCUACGAUACUCAACGUUGCAAAAUCAUUUUCAGCUGAACAAUCAGAUUGCUUAAUUUAGUAGCUUUCCUCUUUUAUUAAACAAUUACAAAUUAUAUUACACAUAGCAGAGAUCCUGUAAUAAAUAUACAAUGUAUUACUUCGCAUUAACCUGACCUUGUCACGAUGCACACAGCGGAGAGGAACGAGGACCACGGAGAUGAGGAUAACUUCCAAAAUAACAGUCUUUAAUAAACUCAAACAGGGCAAGACAAGACAAGGCUGAGACACACAGGAUGAAAAGGAACUAAACAGGCAGUAACUAAAUACACAAGAUAAUUAACACACACAGCUGGAUGAAAUCAUAAUCAAACUAAACAAGGACAAGGACAAGAAAAACCAUAUAAGGACACAAGAGGGCGGGAAACUGACAGAAACCGAGGACUGACCCCUGUUUAAAUAUGUAUUCAAAAUUUUAAUUUAUUCAGAAAGUUAUUACUGGUCUAUUGAAUAUAAAGCAAGUAAUGAUGAAUUCAGGUGCAUAAACAUAAUGCAAACCUGAACUAGCUCUGGUUACCAUCUUUGGCCUGCUUUGAGACAGCAGAAGUUCUUCUCUGUGCAAACUCGCAGGCAUUUUGGUUGCAUCAUGAAUGCAUCACGAGUCAGCAGAAACUGGAUGCCGUAACUGCACCGAAUUGUAUAAAUUAUAAUUUAUAAUGUAUAAUGCACGAACUUUGAAAUAAAAUGCAACGAUAACUCAGAUCAGUAUAUUGUGUUAAUUCUAGUGAACUGAACUAUGUGACUGAAUCAGAUCAAAUGCUUGAGAUGUUUGAACAUGAAAAAGAGGAAAAUGGGGAUCUGAGAAAGUAAGUCACAAGCUUGUAAACUGAAGCAAAUACAUCACGUGAAGCCUGUCAGAUGCAAAAGCAUAUAGUGGAAAAAUCUAACUGUGACUAGUUUAGUCAUUAUAUCACUUUUAUAAGAAAUACAAGAUGAAAUGGAAAUUAAAAUAAUACAUGGCUACAGAACAGACUACAACACAAAUCAUUAUAUAAUAGGCUAUGCACAAACCAACUGAACAUAUUCAUUCAAAAAAAGAGCAUCGUGUGUAUUUCAUUCAGGUUUCAUAACCAAUUUAUUUUCUCUUAUAUUGUAAAUGUCCAUUUUAAUAAGAAUUGAAAAAUAUUUGGUGCCAUUCUAGUUGAAAAAAAUAUAAAUACACACUUGAUCAAUGGUCAGUAUGGUGUUUAAAACCUUCAAUUCAGUUUAAAAAAGUAAAUGCAGUCAUGAAAUGUUACAUACAUUUGGUUUUUACACUACAAUACGUAGUGAAUUCAAUGCAAGAAAGUCUUUUCAAAAUGUUCUCAAUAAUGCUUUAAGCUCUAAACAGCUAGACUAAAAAAAUAAAAAUAAAAAACAUGACAGUGGUUUGUUAAUGAUAUGAUGGAUGACUUUAUGGAUUAAUUUUGCCAUUGAUUCAAAAAUGCUCAGAUACAGUUCAUGUGAUUAAUUUAACUCAUCAAUACAAAUUGCAUCCAUUAAAACGCACUAGUUUUCUGAAAUGUUACUUUGGCCUUUGAUCAAAUGAUCAAACUUCUCUAUUAAUUUGAUCUAAUGACACUCUGGAAAUAAUUCCAUCUUUUGCUUAAUCUGAAUUUCAAAUUAUUUACUUGAAAGUGAUGGAUGUGAACAUUA